rnacentral:rRNA from 1 species
GAUGAACGCUGACAGAAUGCUUAACACAUGCAAGUCAACUCUGGCGGACGUGUGAGUAACGCGUAAAGAACUUGCCUCACAGUUAGGGACAACAUUUGGAAACGAAUGCUAAUACCUGAUACUGUGAGAGAGCUUUGCGUCCCAUUAGCUCGUUGGAGAGGUAACGGCUCACCAAGGCGAUGAUGGGUAGCCGGCCUGCGAGUGUGAUCGGCCACAAGGGGACUGAGACACGGCCCUUACUCCUACGUGAGGCAGGAGUGGGGAAUAUUGGACAAUGGACCAAAGUCUGAUGCAGCAAUUAUGUGUGCACGAUGAAGUUUUCGGAAUGUAAAGUGCUUUCAGUUUGGAAGCGGUACCAACAGAAGAAGUGACGGCUAAAUACGUGCCAGCAGCCGCGGUAAUUC